UGGGGAAUUUUGGACAAUGGGCGAAAGCCUGAUCCAGCAAUGCCGCGUGUGUGAAGAAGGCCUUCGGGUUGUAAAGCACUUUUGUCCGGAAAGAAAUCCUUGGCUCUAAUACAGUCGGGGGAUGACGGUACCGGAAGAAUAAGCACCGGCUAACUACGUGCCAGCAGCCGCGGUAAUACGUAGGGUGCAAACGUUAAUCGGAAUUACUGGGCGUAAAGCGUGCGCAGGCGGUUUGCUAAGACCGAUGUGAAAUCCCCGGGCUCAACCUGGGAACUGCAUUGGUGACUGGGCAGGCUAGAGUAUGGCAGAGGGGGGCAGAAUUCCACGUGUAGCAGUGAAAUGCGUAGAGAUGGUGGAGGAAUACCGAUGGCGAAGGCAGCCCCCUGGGCCAAUACUGACGCUCAUGCACGAAAGCGUGGGGAGCAAACAGGAUUAGAUACCCUGGUAGUCCACGCCCUAAACGAUGUCAACUAGUUGUUGGGGAUUCAUUUCCUUAGUAACGUAGCUAACGCGUGAAGUUGACCGCCU
rnacentral:rRNA from 1 species